ensembl:lncRNA
GUCCAGAAAGCGAUCGUGAAGCUCUGGCCCGUCACCGAUAACUGCUGAGCCUGGUUCGUGCCUGUGCAGAGCAGGCCAAGCCCCACUUCCUCUGGUGAAACGUUUCAUCUGGCCACAGCGGUUGCGCAGCGCGCCUCCAUCUCACUCCUGGGCCGAAGCUGGUGGCGGGGAGGCGAGGUCAGCAGGAGGGGGACAGGAGUCCGGCGCGGCUGAUGCCGCGGAUGUGGUGGUGAGGCAGUUUGCAACAGGAAGCAGACGCGUUCACUACACACACACACACACACACACACACACCGCACCACCAGAUGCCUGAUUUCAGGCCUCUUCUAAAGAAAUCUGAUUGGAAUUUCCAGCAGAUGAGCAGAAGGUUGUUCAACCGGAUUCUCCUCACAAGACAACAGGCAUGGUGGCCAUGGUGGGCCUGCAGGGAGGACUCCUGCUCGCCGCGUCCCUGGCGUCUCUGGGCGUCGCCGGCGCCGUGUGCCUGUGGUGCAGACGGAGAUCCAAGAUUCUACAAGAAGAGAACCAACUCUACGACCCACAAGUGAUCCACAGGGGAGGAAGUAUGUUUGCAGUGACGAGGUCAAAAACAGUGACGCGGACCAACCAGAUCACAUCGAGGUACGACGUCCCCGCCACGAACGGGAGACCUGGGGCAUCUCAACACAUGAGAAUAUGGUACCCUGCACACAACAAACGUCCACAAGAAGCUAUAGACAAUUAUGAGGAUGGAUAUCAGAACGUUUCAAAACCCGCUGACGUCUUUGAACCCACAUACGUAGACCCGAUUCCCAGCAGCACCUACGGCAACGUCCACCAAUCAGGUAGGUGA